UACGUAGGUGACCAGCGUUGUCCGGAUUUACUGGGCGUAAAGAGCGCGCAGGCGGUCGUUCAAGUCGAGUGUGAAAGCCCCCGGCUCAACUGGGGAGGGUCACUCGAUACUGAUCGACUUGAAGGCAGGAGAGGGAAGCGGAAUUCCCGGUGUAGUGGUGAAAUGCGUAGAUAUCGGGAGGAACACCAGUGGCGAAGGCGGCUUCCUGGCCUGUUCUUGACGCUGAGGCGCGAAAGCUAGGGUAGCAAACGGG
rnacentral:rRNA from 1 species